CCCUUCUCAGGGUCGCAUCUGGAGAGUUUCCAAUACUCUACCAGUGUCGGGUCCAGGAGGGAGAGGCAAGCAGAAACCUACCCAUUCCAUUUCCAGCUUGGGCAGUGGCUAGCUAGUGGAAGGCCGUCUGCUACAAAU